UACGGGGGGGGUAAGCGUUGUUCGGAAUUACUGGGCGUAAAGGGCUCGUAGGCGGCCAACUAAGUCGGACGUGAAAUCCCUCAGCUUAACUGGGGAACUGCGUCCGAUACUGGAUGGCUUGGAUUUGGGAGAGGGAUGCGGAAUUCCAGGUGUAGCGGUGAAAUGCGCAGAUAUCGGGAGGAACACCAAUGGCGAAGGCAGCUCGCUGGGACGUUACUGACGCUGAGACGCGAAAGCGUGGGGAGCAAACAGG
rnacentral:rRNA from 1 species